AAUUUUCAACCCAGGGCUGAGUACAACCCCGGGGUUGAAAUUUCAACCCCGGGGUUGAACUCAGCCCUGGGUUGAAAA